rnacentral:rRNA from 1 species
UACGUAGGGUCCGAGCGUUGUCCGGAAUUAUUGGGCGUAAAGGGCUCGUAGGCGGUUUGUUGCGUCGGGAGUGAAAACUUACAGCUUAACUGUGAGCGUGCUUCCGAUACGGGCAGACUUGAGGUAUUCAGGGGAGAACGGAAUUCCUGGUGUAGCGGUGAAAUGCGCAGAUAUCCGGAGGAACACCAGUGGCGAAAGCGGCCACCUGGACUGCACCUGACGCUGACACGCGAAAGCUAGGGGAGCGAACGGG